UACGUAGGGUGCGAGCGUUGUCCGGAAUUACUGGGCGUAAAGCGUGCGCAGGCGGUUCGGAAAGAGAGGUGUGAAAUCCCAGGGCUUAACCUUGGAACUGCACUUCUAACUACCGGGCUAGAGUACGUCAGAGGGGGGUAGAAUUCCACGUGUAGCAGUGAAAUGCGUAGAGAUGUGGAGGAAUACCGAUGGCGAAGGCAGCCCCCUGGGAUGAUACUGACGCUCAUGCACGAAAGCGUGGGGAGCAAACAGG
rnacentral:rRNA from 1 species